rnacentral:rRNA from 1 species
UGCAAGUCGAGCGGUAACACAGAGAGCUUGCUCUCGGGUGACGAGCGGCGGACGGGUGAGUAAUGUCUGGGAAACUGCCUGAUGGAGGGGGAUAACUACUGGAAACGGUAGCUAAUACCGCAUAAUGUCGCAAGACCAAAGUGGGGGACCUUCGGGCCUCAUGCCAUCAGAUGUGCCCAGAUGGGAUUAGCUAGUAGGUGGGGUAAUGGCUCACCUAGGCGACGAUCCCUAGCUGGUCUGAGAGGAUGACCAGCCACACUGGAACUGAGACACGGUCCAGACUCCUACGGGAGGCAGCAGUGGGGAAUAUUGCACAAUGGGCGCAAGCCUGAUGCAGCCAUGCCGCGUGUAUGAAGAAGGCCUUCGGGUUGUAAAGUACUUUCAGCGAGGAGGAAGGCGUUAAGGUUAAUAACCUUGGUGAUUGACGUUACUCGCAGAAGAAGCACCGGCUAACUCCGUGCCAGCAGCCGCGGUAAUACGGAGGGUGCAAGCGUUAAUCGGAAUUACUGGGCGUAAAGCGCACGCAGGCGGUCUGUCAAGUCGGAUGUGAAAUCCCCGGGCUCAACCUGGGAACUGCAUUCGAAACUGGCAGGCUAGAGUCUUGUAGAGGGGGGUAGAAUUCCAGGUGUAGCGGUGAAAUGCGUAGAGAUCUGGAGGAAUACCGGUGGCGAAGGCGGCCCCCUGGACAAAGACUGACGCUCAGGUGCGAAAGCGUGGGGAGCAAACAGGAUUAGAUACCCUGGUAGUCCACGCCGUAAACGAUGUCGACUUGGAGGUUGUGCCCUUGAGGCGUGGCUUCCGGAGCUAACGCGUUAAGUCGACCGCCUGGGGAGUACGGCCGCAAGGUUAAAACUCAAAUGAAUUGACGGGGGCCCGCACAAGCGGUGGAGCAUGUGGUUUAAUUCGAUGCAACGCGAAGAACCUUACCUACUCUUGACAUCCAGAGAACUUAGCAGAGAUGCUUUGGUGCCUUCGGGAACUCUGAGACAGGUGCUGCAUGGCUGUCGUCAGCUCGUGUUGUGAAAUG